rnacentral:rRNA from 1 species
CAUUAAGGUGAAACCGCGAAUGGCUCAUUACAUCAGUUAUGGUUCCUUAGAUCGUACCCACAUUACUUGGAUAACUGUGGUAAUUCUAGAGCUAAUACAUGCAAAUAGAGUUCCGACCAGAGAUGGAAGGAAUGCUUUUAUUAGAUCAAAACCAAUCGGUGGCGGGCUUGCCUUGCUCACCGUUUGACUUGGUGACUCUGAAUAACUUUCUGCUGAUCGCACGGUCUCGUACCGGCGACGCAUCUUUCAAAUGUCUGCCUUAUCAACUGUCGAUGGUAGUUUCUGCGACUACCAUGGUUGUUACGGGUAACGGGGAAUCAGGGUUCGAUUCCGGAGAGGGAGCCUGAGAAACGGCUACCACAUCCAAGGAAGGCAGCAGGCGCGCAAAUUACCCACUCCCGGCACGGGGAGGUAGUGACGAAAAAUAACGAUACGGGACUCAUCCGAGGCCCCGUAAUCGGAAUGAGUACACUUUAAAUCCUUUAACGAGGACCCAUUGGAGGGAAAGUCUGGUGCCAGCAGCCGCGGUAACACCAGCUCCAAUAGCGUAUAUUAAAGUUGUUGCGGUUAAAAAGCUCGUAGUUGAAUCUGUGUCCCACACUGUCGGUUCACCGCUCGCGGUGUUCAACUGGCAUGUCUGUGGGACGUCCUACCGGUGGGCGCAGCCCGUCAAAAGGCGGCCCAACUCAAAAUCCUACCAC